GAAUGGUCAGUUUUCUAAAGAGGGACAUGCUAGAAGCACAAAGCCAGGCAAGACUUACUGGCUGCACCCUUAAAAGAUUCUCUGCUGCAGGAAUUCUUAGUGGGGGGGUUUCUUGAACUUGACUACAUCUUAGGAGCAUUACAGGAAUUCUGGGACUCAAAACACCUAUUGCUUUUCCCUGGAUGGGUGUGAUGAGGAGCAAAACAAGCAGCUGGACGUGCCAUCAGCUUUCCUACAUGAGGGUGUUGUGAUUACUCACCUUUGUGCAAUACAUGGUAUUUUAAAAAUGGUCUGGCCCAGUGAAUAGUUGUUAAAAACUCCCAUUGAAUCUUAAGAACUCUUGAACAGAUGGCCAUCAGCACACCCACCUCAAGAAGGAGGUCUGUGGGCUGGCUGAGAGCAGCAGGGCUCACUGCCAGCACUGUGUAAUCACUGGGAGUGGCCUUCGGAUGUCAAGUCCCCUGUUGCUGCUUGCAGUUCUGCAGUGUUCCCACACAUAUUAGCUGAGGAAUUGACUUGGGUGGGGCAUUGGAAAUCCCUCUUCUCCUCUUGGAGCUAUAACACCAUGGGGAGAUAAGGAGUCUCCUCCUGUGCUCAGCCACUGUUGAAAUAGGGAGAAAACAUUGAUUUGUGAGAAGCAAGUUUGCAUGCUGAGUUAUGCUGCUGGCUCCACACCCUGCUGAGUAAUACACUGCCACUGGCUCACCCAAGAAAGGCAGUGGCACGAGGGAACACAAAAAAACAUGCCAUAAUCCCUUUUUCUGCAUUAUGUGAUCUAAAAAGUCUCUUUCAACUCAAAUUUCUUUGAAUGAACACAACCAAAUCUUGCUCUUCAUCCUGAGUGCAUGCCUCUCCCACAUGGAACACUGGAUAGCCGUCUCAUGGGAUCCCACCAGAUUGCUCUCUCUUUACUGAGCUCUACAUCUCUUAUCUACCUCAAGUAAAUGUAGACUGGUCAACUUUCUGAGGCCUUUUUUGAGUGAGAUAAGAAGAGAGAGAAGGGCAGAAAGUUUAUCCCUCCAGCUUUGCCCUGAAUUCCCUCCAGGCAGGAUGUCUGUCCCCUCUGCACAUUGGAACAAUUUGAGUUGAAAAGGCUGAAGUAUCCCUUGUUGUGCAGCUAGUGUCAAGGCUGACAUAACAUACAGUAUAGGGAUUAUCUUGAUGUUUCCUAGUGACUAAUAUGCCUUUUUGAUGUAAAACAGAUUAGUCUGAUUUCAUUUCCCACCUUCAUUACAACGGCUGUCCAACCCGCACCACAGCACCCCUUCCUGCAUGGCGUCUGAAAUCCUUGCUGAAGUAAUUACAUACAUCAGUGACUGGAUCAAAUUUGCUAUUCCUAUGAUUCACCUGUAACAAUUAUCUUUGCCAGCACUUUUUUUUUUUAGUGGAUAGACCAUUUGAAGCAUUACCUAGGCCAUGCAGAUAAAGAAUACCUGUCAUCUUUAAGUUACUAUCAAAAGGAUAGUGUUGAUAAUAUAAAGAUUAUAGAUAUAUCUUUGUGGAUUAGGGCUUAAUAGGAAAAAGCUCACAGAAUUCCUCAUUUGUUCCAUCCCCAGUCAUGCAAGGCACUAAGCAAAACCGUAUCUUGCGGAAAUUGCUGCACACAGGAAAAACCGCAGACAAUUUAGAAAGCUUUGGCACACAGCUCAGUUCAGUGUCUGAAAGGGAAUGGGAUAGGCUUAGUGGGGCUGAAGAGGAAGCAGAAGAGCUAUGGCAAGCUCAUGGUCUAAAAAGAGACAGGGAAUUAACAUGUUUUAGAGAUCUACCAAACUCCAUCACUACCAACCUUCAACAUGACUACUACCAGCCUUCCACAUCACCGCUGAAGACACUGAGCUAUGUUGGGUCAGAGCAGCCUCAGCUGUCCAUCCUUCACAGCAUCCUUCCAACUGGGCAGUGACUGUGCCACCAAACUGACCCUUGAAAGCCACAUUUCUCUAGCAAGUGAGAGAUUGCACCAGAAAAGGUGCAGAUCCUCAGCACCCCUGAAGGGUGGCAGUCCCAGGUAUGGAUGUUGGCUGUACCUUGGAGAGCAUCACGGUGGGAACUUGUAUGGAUCACCUGGGUCUAUGAAAGAGUGAGGCAGAGGAUGGGCAGCACUGUAGCUCAGUCACUCUACCUUGUGUUGUGUUCCCAUUCAUGGGGAGCCUCCUAAAUCUUGAGGGACCUGAUGUUUUCUCCAUGGGAGCAGGCACAGAAAGCAAGUUCUCCAAAGGCAACCUCCAACUGUGGUUGUUUUACCUUUCUGAGAGAUUGAAGGCAGCGUUUUUGUGCAGAAGCUGGGUGUGUCAUUCCAGGCAAGCCUAGGCAGGUGGGCCACGUUGCAUGUUCACCUGCCUUUUUGGCCCUUCCCUGCAGGCUGAGCACACACAGAUGUGGGCAGCCUGUCACAGCGUCAGCCAGGCCACAGCUGCCUCCAGAUUUAGGAGCAGGCUUCUGCAGACUGAGCAAGCUGGCCUCUUCAGCAAGGCAGGCGUUUUGCUAAUUUUCUGCGUGCAUGUACACAUCUCCACAUGAGUACUCAGCUUGAUUGGCUGCUUCCAAACCACCAGCACCCUGGACAAGUCACAAGGGAGAGGCUGCUCAUCUCACUGCCAGCUGCCUCAUCAGUCCCGACUGUGUGUGACCCCCAAAUAAGAAUUCAUCAUGCAGCAGAGCUGACAUGAUCUGAGAGGAGAUACAGAUGCCCAUAGUCAGCUUUCAUAGGAAGUGUUCUUCCUAACCCUAUCCCAGUUUUAGAAGAAAUACAGGACUACAGAAGAAAAGACUUCAGACCCCAGCUCUUUAUCUCUUUGACUGGAAUCUGAAAUAAAACCCUCAAAGAGACUCUUAGAUGAUCUAGAUUAACAUCUCUGAUAUGUUUAUUUAAAUUAUAAAUCCUGGAGGAUUAUAGGUGUGUAUGAACAGAGCUUGGGGCGAUAGGGCUUUGUCUGUGGUGGGGGCACUAAUAAAACAAAGAAGUCCAGAUUUCAAAAGCAGUUAGGAAUUUUAUUAGGACUUUCUGGUAGAUCCCUGUGAGUAGGUGGAUUUGUGGCAUCUUUCUGGGUGGCAAUAAAAAUUGGGUUUUUUUACAAAAGGACUGUCCUCCGUCCCUACUAAAAGUAUUUCUACUUUGCUAAAACUCCGCAAUGAUACACCAGAAGAUGUCACAAUACAGUGCACUGAAUUCAGAGGUGAGCAUUGAGUGUUCAUCCUCAUGAUACAUAAUUGAUGUGUUGCUCUAUUUCCUCAUGUUUGGGAUAGGUCCUGCACUUUGCUGUACUCAGUGGGAAAUUGCAGGUAAAAUGGGGGUGAUUCUGCUAAAAAGUGAUUCCCCUGGUUUUCCCUAGAUACAGUACUGGUCAUAUGCAUGUGCCUGAGUUUUCAGCAGAGGAACAGUUCUGUUAAAGACUGAGCUGCUGAGCCACCACCUGAAUUUGUGGAAAUUCUUUUCACACAUGUAAUUUAUUUAGUAAAGCUUCAUUCACAUCAAUGACUAAAAAGAUAUUUUUGCUUUUGCACAUUUAUCCUUGAUCUAUUGAAUAUUUUCUUCCAACUACCAAUCACCAAAAGGGCAUGUGUUUUUAUGUGUGCGUGCAGCACAGUUUUGCCUAAAUAAUUGCCAUAGUGCUUUGAUGUCAUUAAUAAAAAAAAUAAAUUAAAAAGGAUUCAUUGCUGCAGCUCAGAAGUCUGAAGGGCUUAAUGAAAGAUGUGAAAUCCAGCAAGAUUGUAGUCCAGGCUCAUGAAAAUAUUCUUCAUGCAUAUUUCAUAUACAAGCAAUUUUCCAUUUCUUUUUCCCUGCUCACCUCCCAAUAGUCACUAAAGAAAUGCAUGUUACUCACUGAGGUAGAACCUACAUUUUUUUUAAUGUCAGGUGCUGGUUUGAUGACAGUGUUGGGAUAAUUCCUAGAGACUGCAAUACCCCUGAAAAGCUGAAAGGUUGGACUGCUGGAGUCUAAGCUAUGGAUCUGAGGUGUUCCAACUAAAAUGCCAAGCGCCUCAUAUCUGCUGUGAAAUAAAAAACAAGGGGAGACCUGGAUCCCAUGUGCACACACACACACACAAAAGAGGAACAGUAGCAGAGCAUUCCUUCAUCAGCACGGAUUUUCACCACUUUAACAUGACCACAACUGAAGGAUCCAUGCAGGGAAAAGUCCCCCCUAGAAGUUGGCUCUUCAGGGAUUAAAGGCAUAUUAGUUCUCUCUUGGUACCAGGAGACUGGAGAAUUGCAUAAUGGGGCAUACUGAAGAGUUUCUGAAGAGGAAGUGAGUCAAAGUUUGUUAUUUUCAAUGCA